rnacentral:lncRNA from 1 species
AUAACUCCAUAUCUUAACUUUCCAUUAUUACUUAAAAUAUUAAUCUUAUAAAUAAUUACAAAAAUUAUUUUUUAUUUUCUCUCUCUAAACAUCUGAAUGCUCAUAAGUCAUAACCCCCUUUACUCGAAUUCACGCACACAGACAAUUCAUGAUAUAAUUCUCUUCUUCCUCCAUCAACCAACAAUCAUUUUCUCCAUCAAUUUUCUCCAUUAUUACCCUUAUUCCAUCAAUUUCCUUACUUAUUUUAAUUAAUUGACACAACAAACAACAUUCUUUUCUUCCCUCAAACACACCCAUUUUUACAUUUCUAAAUCAUCAAUAAACAUACUCAUUCUUACCAACAUCCAAUUCAUUCCAACAUUCUCUUGAUCUAAAUAUUGGCGGUUGAUUUCCGCCGUUUCUGACAACGUUGGUGAAGUUAUUGGUUAUUUUCUCGGAGUUUAUUCGAAACAUCGAAUUUUCAUCAUCGUUGAGCUUCGGUGGUGUUGUGAGCUAGUUGUUGAUGGUGUUUUGGUGGUGGAUUUCACCGGAUUUGGAAUCAUGGUGGUGCUUAUAUGGGUUGUAGUGGUCGUUUUGGGUGAUUGAUGAUCGAAGUUUGCUAUUAAAAAUGAUGUAUCUGAUUGAAAAUAUG